AAAAGGGGCAACAUAUAUUUUUGUACUUCAUGAGAAAUAUAAUAAAAUCUUUUUUUUAAUUAUCAUAUUUGACAUAGUAUUUUUAUUAGCACGGCGUAGAAUUAGUGUGACCAUAUAGAAAAAUGUGGAAAAUUUUAAAAAUCCUUUAUUUUACUCAUAAAAAUAAACUUUAUUUAGCCCCUUUUAGCUUUACACUGAAAGGAAAGUGUUACCUAAGAUUUGUAUAUUAUUUGAUCUGAUGUAAGUAUUGUUUGUUAGAUAAAUAGAUGGAUGGAUGACGGCAAUCGGUUAUAUGAAACACGGGCGUCUAUGUAUAAGCUCUCAGUUCCCAGAAAUUACACAGCGGCAUUCAGGGGCAGCUUCUUAUUUUCUUUCUUUCUUCUUUCAAAUAAUAAUUCAGACGUUCUUUUUUUCUUUGUUAUAUGUUAAAAUCUUCCUUUAUUAUACCAUUGUUAUCGAAAUUUAAAUAAACAGAUAUGAAUUCAAAAAAUAAGUAUUAAAAAUUACUGUUGCGAAUAUUUUUUUAUUCAGAAAAAAUGGGGCCGAAUUUAUUUUAAUGAAAUAUUUACAGUUUACUUUUCAAGGUCUUUAAAUCUUGAAAAUUAUCUUUAUCUUCAUAUCACUAAAGUUAAAUAUAUAAUGUAACAAAAUUAUUGCCAAGCUAGGCAUUGCAAUUAUUGUCUUCUAUAUUUUGGCGCGAAAGUUUUCUUUCAAUGUCAAAUGUCAAUGUGUCCUUUUUUUAUUCCAGCCUAUGUACAAUUUUUUCACUACAUUUUGUAAAUAGGUUAAAUAUAUGAAUAUAGCUGGAUUCUAAAUAGUUGAAUACAUAGAUAAUUCCAGAGUAUUGUUAUUAUGAAUAAGGUAUUUAAUGAUUUUUAAUAUUUCUACGAUAUUAUUAAAUUAAGAGAUCUAUUACCAAAUUGUUGUAAAUAUGUCGAUGUCAUAGAAUUUUGUUCUAAUAAAUUUUAUUGAAUCUUUA